GACGAACGCUGGCGGCGUGCUUAACACAUGCAAGUCGAACGGAAAGGCCCUGCUUUUGUGGGGUGCUCGAGUGGCGAACGGGUGAGUAACACGUGAGUAACCUGCCCUUGACUUUGGGAUAACUUCAGGAAACUGGGGCUAAUACCGGAUAGGAGCUCCUGCUGCAUGGUGGGGGUUGGAAAGUUUCGGCGGUUGGGGAUGGACUCGCGGCUUAUCAGCUUGUUGGUGGGGUAGUGGCUUACCAAGGCUUUGACGGGUAGCCGGCCUGAGAGGGUGACCGGCCACAUUGGGACUGAGGUACGGCCCAGACUCCUACGGGGGGCAGCAGUGGGGAAUAUUGCACAGUGGGCGGAAGCCUGAUGCAGCAACGCCGCGUGCGGGAUGACGGCCUUCGGGUGGUAAACCGCUUUCGCCUGUGACGAAGCGUGAGUGACGGUAAUGGGUAAAGAAGCACCGGCUAACUACGUG
rnacentral:rRNA from 1 species